CUAAAAUAAUGGUGAUGUUAAUGGUAGUAAGAAGCAGGGGAUAUAUAUAUAUAUAUAUAUAUAUGUGUGUGUGUGUGUGUGUGUGUGUGUGUGUGUGUGUGUAUCCCCUGCUUCUUACUACCACUAACAUCACCAUUA